rnacentral:rRNA from 1 species
GACGAACCGUGCGAACGUUGUUCGGAAUCACUGGGCUUAAAGGGCGCGUAGGCGGUCGGAGGGGUCCCGGGUGAAAGCCCCCAGCUCAACUGGGGAAGUGCCCGGGAUACCGCCCGACUCGAGGGGGGUAGGGGCGUGUGGAACUUCCGGUGGAGCGGUGAAAUGCGUAGAUAUCGGAAGGAACGCCGGUGGCGAAAGCGGCACGCUGGACCCCUUCUGACGCUGAGGCGCGAAAGCCAGGGGAGCAAACGGGG